rnacentral:tRNA from 1 species
GGAAAGGUGACUGAACAAUAAGUGUUACUUUGUAAAUGUAAUUAUGAGAUUUACUCUCUUUUCCA